UACGUAGGGUCCGAGCGUUGUCCGGAAUUAUUGGGCGUAAAGGGCUCGUAGGCGGUUCGUCACGUCGGGAGUGAAAACUCGGAGCUUAACUCCGAGCCUGCUUCCGAUACGGGCAGACUAGAGGUAGGCAGGGGAGAGCGGAACUCCUGGUGUAGCGGUGGAAUGCGCAGAUAUCAGGAAGAACACCUAUGGCGAAGGCAGCUCUCUGGGACGGUACUGACGCUGAGACGCGAAAGCGUGGGGAGCGAACAGG
rnacentral:rRNA from 1 species